rnacentral:rRNA from 1 species
UCGCCUGUUUAUCAAAAACAUCACUUAAAUUUUAAGCUUUACCUGCUCAAUGAUAAUAAUUAAAUAGCCAAACUAUGCUAAGGUAGCAUAAUAAUUUGCUUUAUAAUUAAAAGAUGGAAUGAAUGGUAUUUCUAAAAGUACUUAUUUUAUUCUUAAAUUUAACUUUUUUAGAGUUGAAAAUUACUUUAUUAAUUUUUUAGACGAUAAGACCCUAUGAAGCUUUAUUAAUAAAGUCAAUUAACAAUAGUAAAUUUAAUUUUUUUGGGGCAAAAAAAAAAUUUUUUAUUUUAAAUUAAAUUAAUAAUGAUCUUUUUGAAUUUUAAGAAAAAGCUACUCUAGGGAUAACAGCAUAAUUUUUAUAAAAGUUCUUAUUAAAAUAAAAGUUUGUGACCUCGAUGUUGA